rnacentral:rRNA from 1 species
UACAGAGGGGGCAAGCGUUGUUCGGAAUUACUGGGCGUAAAGGGCGCGUAGGCGGCCCGCUAAGUCGAACGUGAAAUCCCCAGGCUCAACCUGGGAACUGCGUCCGAUACUGGCAGGCUUGAAUCCGGGAGAGGGAUGUGGAAUUCCAGGUGUAGCGGUGAAAUGCGUAGAUAUCUGGAGGAACAUCGGUGGCGAAGGCGGCAUCCUGGACCGGUAUUGACGCUGAGGCGCGAAAGCCAGGGGAGCAAACGGG